rnacentral:lncRNA from 1 species
CUUUCCCCUUGCUUGAUUUCUAUUAUCUCUAUCAUCAAAGUGGAAAUAUGCAUCCAAACUAGUUCACCUUGCUUAAAAGCGAGUAAUUGAGUCUAGUCCGGGCGACAGCAUUGGGAGCAGUAGUAAGGUUAUCGCUAGCACUAGUUUAUUUCUUAAGUGGAUCAAAAUACAGAAUGAAGUAAGGUCCCAGGGAUUCAACAGGAUAUAAGUCAUUCCACUCAAUAGUAGCUGCAGACCUAAGUCCAGAGGAGGCCCAACCCUCACCAAAGGCUUAGCUGGCUAACAAACAGAGCCUUACCUAUACGUUGCAUUCUGAGCACCCAACACCCGGACUUGUAGCUAUCUCUAACUUGCCCGCUGACCCACUUGCCUAGCGCUCCGACCUCCCAGUAGUAGUGCGCUUAUUCGCUUAGAAAGGUCUCCUUAUGAACUUAGCCCGGUAUCCUUACUUUCGAGGUUUUCUCUUUGUGCCUAUAGGUUGAUUCUGGUGAAAGGCCAGCAGUAUAGGGUUUCAAGCAAAGGUAGCUAGACUUAAGAGAAGCAGUGCCAGGCUGGUAGUUGUGUAGUUCAUAUAGGCUGUUACCAAUAGCUCCUUUAUUAUUAGUAUAGGAAUAGUUCCUUUCUCAUAUUUGUAGGGGAAUCAGACUUCACUACGGGAUAGGUAGGGCUCAUAGGCACCAGUGCAUUCCCUUUUUCUUGUUUCAAUUGCUAGAUGCGCUAUCCUCUAUCCUUGAGUCGAAGAGUGAAAGGCAUUAGUUGCAGGAGCUGAGGAACGAGAGACAGGAACUCUAUAGACAAAUACAGAUGUUAGAUCAGUAGCGCUAGACUUCAAGCAAGGGUGGUGAGUAGAUAAGUAAUAAGUAAAGACAUACAAAUAGGCAGUCAGGACAGGCAGGCUAGCAAUUUCACUAUAGCGUUGAGGGCUGUGAGGGAAGUCUAAGUUAUGAGUUCAGAUUUGAGAAGCAUUAGUGCAUUAGUGACAGUACCAUAUGCCCUGGUCCAUUCCUUUUAUUAUAGUAGUUCGGUCCUUAUUGGUAGGGUCGUUGUGUAUUCGGAGAAGCACUAGAUGUUACUGAAUACCCAAACAACUGAUCGCUAGUUCAAGAGAAAAGCAAUAGACUUAUUUCGCCUUGGUUUCGCUAAUCAACUAUAAGAGAAUACUCGCUAAUCUAAUAUAAGAGAACUGAAAAACGGAAUCGAAUUCCAAAAGAGAGAAUGCAAACAAGUGGAUAAGGUCUGAGAUACCAUAACGUGAAGCAAGGCUCUUAGGCAGUAGAGCAAGGUUUUAGUGAAGUAGUAGCAGAGCCAAAAGAUAGAUCUAGGUUUAAAGCGAAGUAAGUUGGUGGGCAUUAUCAGACUUAUAGUAGUAGUAAGAGGCUAGCACAUCUAGGUCUUAUAAGUAGUAAGCAUCAGAGUGGAACCCCCCUAAACUGUAAAAGAAUGAAUACAAGAAAUAGGGAACCCUGAUAUCGGAAUGAAACCGAUGCUACAAAGAAUGCAACACUGCCCACACACCCCAAAGAGAUUGAGCUUGAUGUUGAUAUCGGAUCCUAUGCGCUAUUAUUAGUACGCGGGGGAACGAACUAGCCUGCCAUUAACGCCUUCAAGUCGG